CGGAGAGGGAGCCUGAGAAACGGCUACCACAUCCAAGGAUGGCAGCAGGCGCGCAAAUUACCCAAUCCCGACACGGGGAGGUAGUGACAAUAAAUAACAAUACGGGGUUCUUUAGGAUCUCGUAAUUGGAAUGAGUACAAUUUAAAUCUCUUAACGAGGAACAAUUGGAGGGCAAGUCUGGUGCCAGCAGCCGCGGUAAUUCCAGCUCCAAUAGCGUAUAUUAAAGUUGUUGCAGUUAAAAAGCUCGUAGUUGAAUUUCGGGGUUAGUAGGUUGGUCAUGCCUCUGGUAUGUACUGGUCUCACUGAUUCCUCCUUCCUUAUGAACCGUAAUGCCAUUAAUUUGGUGUUGCGGGGAAUUUGGACUGUUACUUUGAAAAAAUUAGAGUGUUUAAAGCAAGCUAACGCUUGAAUACAUUAGCAUGGAAUAAUGAAAUAGGACGUUCGAUCUUAUUUUGUUGGUUUCUAGGAUUGACGUAAUGAUUAAUAGGGAUAGUUGGGGGCAUUAGUAUUCAAUUGUCAGAGGUGAAAUUCUUGGAUUUAUUGAAGACUAACUACUGCGAAAGCAUUUGCCAAGGAUGUUUUCAUUAAUCAAGAACGAAAGUUAGGGGAUCGAAGACGAUCAGAUACCGUCGUAGUCUUAACCAUAAACUAUGCCGACUAGGGAUCGGAUGAUGUUAAUUUUUUAAUGACUCAUUCGGCGCCUUACGGGAAACCAAAG
rnacentral:rRNA from 1 species